UCCCUGGUAGUCUAAUGAUUAGGACUCAGAGCUUUCACUGCCGUGUCCCAGGUUCAAUCCCUGGUCAGGGAA
rfam:TPA: Bos taurus chromosome 16, whole genome shotgun sequence.